GACGAACGCUGGCGGCGUGCCUAAUACAUGCAAGUCGAGCGGACGAUUCGAAAGCUUGCUUUUGAAUCGUUAGCGGCGGACGGGUGAGUAACACGUGGGCAACCUGCCCUGUAGACGGGGAUAACACCGAGAAAUCGGUGCUAAUACCGGAUAACACGAAAUGUCGCAUGACGUUUCGUUGAAAGGCGGCGCAAGCUGCCGCUACAGGAUGGGCCCGCGGCGCAUUAGCUAGUUGGUGAGGUAACGGCUCACCAAGGCGACGAUGCGUAGCCGACCUGAGAGGGUGAUCGGCCACACUGGGACUGAGACACGGCCCAGACUCCUACGGGAGACAGCAGUAGGGAAUCUUCCGCAAUGGACGAAAGUCUGACGGAGCAACGCCGCGUGAGCGAAGAAGGCCUUCGGGUCGUAAAGCUCUGUUGUUAGGGAAGAACAAGUAACGUAGUAACUGACGUUACUAUGACGGUACCUAACGAGAAAGCCACGGCUAACUACGUG
rnacentral:rRNA from 1 species